rnacentral:rRNA from 1 species
CCCUUAGAUGCUCUGGGCCGCACGCGCGCUACACUGGUCGAUGCAACGAGUUUCUUUCCUUGGCCGACAGGCCUGGGCAAUCUUUGAACGCUGUUCGUGAUUGGGAUAGACCUUUGCAAUUAUGGGUCUUCAACGAGGAAUUCCUAGUAAACGCAAGUCAUCAGCUUGCAUUGAUUACGUCCCUGCCCUUUGUACACACCGCCCGUCGCACCUACCGAUUGAAUGGUCCGGUGAAAUCUCGGGACGGCGGCUUGGUCGCUUGCGUCCGACUGCUGAAACUUGAUUAAACCAUAUCAUUUAGAGGAAGGUGAANUCGUANCA